rnacentral:rRNA from 1 species
GUAGGGAAUAUUGGGCAAUGGAUGCAAGUCUGACCCAGCCAUCCCGCGUGCCGGAAGAAGGCCCUCAGGGUUGUAAACGGCUUUUGACGGUGAAGAAUCGACAGGAUGCGUCCUGUUUUGACGGUAGCCGUUGAAUAAGCACCGGCUAACUCCGUGCCAGCAGCCGCGGUAAUACGGAGGGUGCGAGCGUUGUCCGGAUUUAUUGGGUUGAAAGGGUGCGUAGGCUGGAAGGUCAGUCAGCGGUGAAAAGCUGUCGCUUAACGAUAGUCUUGCCGCAGAUACUUCCUUUCUUGGAUGAGGAGGAGGCCACUGGAACGGAUGGUGUAGCGGUGAAAUGCAUAGAUAUCAUCCAGAACACCGAUUGCGAAGGCAGGUGGCUGUACCUUAAUCGACGCUGAUGCACGAAAGCAUGGGGAGCAAACAGGAUUAGAAACCCGUGUAGUCC